CAGCAUGCUUAGAUGAGCCCAAGCUCAGAGCUUCCAGACCCAGCCUCAGUGUUUUUAACCAUGGACAUCCUCCCAGGCAGACCAGAUGCCCUCUACGCGUAAUAUUCAGGUUUGUGCUUAGAAAAAUACAUAGAGGAUCGCAUUAUACACACCCUUCAGGGUUUUGCUUUUUUCGUUUGAAAUACCUUUGCAAAUCUUUGUCAGCAGGGGCAGGCUGGCAGGCCCGUCGGU
rnacentral:lncRNA from 1 species